CCAGAAGACUCUCAGAUCCUGUAUAAAGUUCUCAAAACGCAACACUGUCAAGUCUGGAGUCCUUGGAAGCCCUUUCCCACACCCCUGUCAUCUCCCGUCUUCAUACAAUCUGGCAUGCAUUUGACAGACGAAGGAACCAUUCUUUGAAGAUGCCUAGUGACUUGACGAGGUCACCUGGCUGCUAGAAGUCUGAGCCAAACUGAAACCCUACAGCUCUUCUGACUCCCAAACCAGUGCUCUUCUCCUGACUCCCACCUCAGAAGCCGCAAGCCUCGCUUGGGGCAGUCACUCUGCAAUCUCCCUGGGAUCUGAACCUUUCCUCAUCAUUGCCACCCACCCACCCCUGCAGAGUGGACUUUCUCCCCUGGCUCUGGCCCUAAAAUGCUUCCACCAGGCCCUAGCAAGGUGGCCUCCCUCAACACUCCUUUCUACAACCAGACCAAGAGGAAGAAUUAACAAUGGGGGAAAAAAAAAAAAAAGGAAGAAAGAAAGAAAAAAGAAAGAACCAAAGAUCCCACUCCAUC